GUGAUUGACUUGACAUGUUAUUUUGUAGUGAGUCUGAGUCGUCGGACUAGAGGACUCAAUCCUUUAAAAGAUGCAGAAAUACAUGUCAUAAUUGGAAAGGACAAAGACAUAAUAACUGGGAGAUACAUUAAUCCCUUCAAAGGUCGGGGUGUGUUUGCAAAAACACCUAUCUCACAAGGUUCCUUUAUUCUCGAGUACGGAGGAACUUUAGUGGAAAAAGGGAAAUUGGGAAAAUAUUUUAAUAAUAAUUAUGCAUACUUUUUCAAACACGGACGCCGUGACUGCUGCAUCGAUGCCUCCUUUGAUGACGGCUCUCUUGGGAGACUAGUUAACGACAGUCAAAAGCCAAAUGGCAAAAUAAAAAAAUUUAACUGGACGGAAAGCCUC